GACGAACGCUGGCGGCGUGCUUAACACAUGCAAGUCGAACGGUAAGGCCCUUCGGGGUACACGAGUGGCGAACGGGUGAGUAACACGUGGGUGAUCUGCCCUGCACUUCGGGAUAAGCCUGGGAAACUGGGUCUAAUACCGGAUAGGACCACUGCCUGCAUGGGGGGUGGUGGAAAGCUUUUGCGGUGUGGGAUGGGCCCGCGGCCUAUCAGCUCGUUGGUGGGGUGAUGGCCUACCAAGGCGACGACGGGUAGCCGGCCUGAGAGGGUGACCGGCCACACUGGGACUGAGAUACGGCCCAGACUCCUACGGGAGGCAGCAGUGGGGAAUAUUGCACAAUGGGCGCAAGCCUGAUGCAGCGACGCCGCGUGAGGGAUGACGGCCUUCGGGUUGUAAACCUCUUUCAGCACCGACGAAGCGCAAGUGACGGUAGGUGCAGAAGAAGGACCGGCCAACUACGUGCCAGCCGCCGCUGUAA
rnacentral:rRNA from 1 species